UAGGGAAUCUUCCUCAAUGGACGAAAGUCUGAUGGAGCAACGCCGCGUGAGUGAAGAAGGGUUUCGGCUUGUAAAACUCUGUUGUUAAAGAAGAACAUAUCUGAGAGUAACUGUUCAGGUAUUGACGGUAUUUAACCAGAAAGCCGCGGCUAACUACGUACCAG
rnacentral:rRNA from 1 species